rnacentral:sRNA from 1 species
UUUCAGUAUUUAACUCAGAUGCUGAACGUGAAGGAUAACGUUGCGACAGCAACGGCCCGAAGGGCGAGGCGAAGUCGAGUCAUCCUGCACGACCCACCA